rnacentral:rRNA from 1 species
AUUGAACGCUGGCGGCAGGCCUAACACAUGCAAGUCGAACGAGUGGCGGACGGGUGAGUAAUGUCUGGGAAACUGCCUGAUGGAGGGGGAUAACUACUGGAAACGGUAGCUAAUACAGCAUACCAUCGGAUGUGCCCAGCUGGGAUUAGCUAGUAGGUGGGGUAAAGGCUCAACUAGGCGACGAUCCCUAGCUGGUCUGAGAGGAUGACCAGACACACUGGAACUUAGACACGGGCCAGACUCCUACGGGAGGCAGCAGGGGGGAAUAUUGGACAAUGGGCGAAAGCCUGAUGCAGCCAUGCCGAGUGUAUGAAGAAGGCCUUCGGGUUGUAAAGUACUUUCAGCGGGGAGGCGUUACCCGCAGAAGAAGCACCGGCUAACUCCGUGCCAGCAGCCGCGGUAAUAC